AGCGAACGCUGGCGGCAGGCCUAACACAUGCAAGUCGAACGAACCUUUCGGGGUUAGUGGCGGACGGGUGAGUAACACGUGGGAACGUGCCUUUAGGUUCGGAAUAACUCAGGGAAACUUGUGCUAAUACCGAAUGUGCCCUUCGGGGGAAAGAUUAAUCGCCUUUAGAGCGGCCCGCGUCUGAUUAGCUAGUUGGUUGAGGUAAUGGCUCACCAAGGCGACGAUCAGUAGCUGGUCUGAGAGGAUGAUCAGCCACAUUGGGACUGAGACACGGCCCAAAAUCCGGGGGGAGGAGGAGGGGGGGAUUCGGGAGAAAGGGGAGAAAGCCGGAAGAGGCCAGGCAGGGGGAAGGGGGAAGUUGUGGGAGUGGAAAAUUUUUUUCACCGGGGACGAUAAGGGGGGGCCGGGGAGAAGAAGCCCCGGCAAAUUGCGGG
rnacentral:rRNA from 1 species